AGUUUGAUCUCAGACUGCUGUGCUAGCAAUCAGCGAGAUUCUGUGGGCGUAGGACCCUCCAAGCCAGGUGUGGGAUAUAGUCUCGUGGUGCACCGUUUUUUAAGCCGGUCUGAAAAGCGCAAUAUUCGGGUGGGAGUGACCCGCUUUUCCAGCAGUAGAAAACAGAUGAAUACACCUAGAUUUCUUCCUGCGUGAAUCCAGUUGAGGGGAAGGUAUAAAAUUUUCAAAUGGAGGAGUAUACCUGAACCUAAUCAUGGAUGUGAUUUUAUGUAAGUAAUAUGUGAGAUACAGAUAAGCUGAUUCUAAAACUUACAAGAAUGGCAAAGAAACAAGAAGAGCUUAAACUGCAAUCAUCAACAGAGAAGCUUUCUGCAACCAAAGUGAAGACUGAAGCCUUAGGCUAUGGCAGAAGUUGGGCGCCUGAAGUACACGUGGAAAUAUGCCAACUGAACAUUGGACUACCACUAACCUGGAUUCUUCCAUCUUUUGAAGUGGAAACUGUCCUAACCCCAUAACCUCGACAUCACUAGACAGGGUCUGGCUUUGUUGCCCUGGUCUUGAACUCCUGGCUUCAAGUGAUUUUCCUGCCUCAGCCUCCUGAAGUGCUGGAAUUACAGGCAUGAGCUGCCACACCUGCGCCUGCCCCUGGCUCAGCGCCCGGUGCCAACAGAACACCUUUCAGGAUCCACAGCAACGCAGACAACGUAAGUACCAGCCGUUCCCUGAAACCCUUUUGCAGAUUUUUUAAAAACAACCACCUAAAACAUAGAGAGAGAGAGACAAGCCUCUUUCCCCUUCUUCUCCCCUGCGUUAUGCCACCAGUGUUUCCUCAGUAGCCCCUUCCAAAUCGCUCUGCCUUCAAGUUUGUGCAUGUCUGUGUGGCAUCCCUCCUCCUCCUUCACUCCCAUAGUGGAUCUUGUAAAAGGGCUUCAGAUCGGCCCCAUUCAUCUCCCUGGUGAUAGCAGUGAAUGUAGAUAAAUCUCUGGCUGCCUGCUUGCUGCUGGAGUAUGAUUUUUAUUUUGUCUUCUGUGUAUACCUGGGUCAAAAAGUGGGAUGUAUGCAUACACAUACAUGCACAUACACAUAUUUCCUUCUCUCUCCUCUCUCUCCCUCCUUUUUCUCACACAUGCAUACAUCCUACAUAUGUGUGUAUAUGCAUAAACAUAUACACCUAUAUACAUACCCAUACCUGUAGCACAAAAUAUAUACAUAUCUAAACGUUUGUCUGAAAAUAUGCAUAUUUAUAUACACAUACAACCUUACACAUGUGUUUAUACGCAAUCGAUAGGUGCCUAUCUUUUAAUUUAUACCCAUCUAUAUCUCCAUUUAAAUAUUCCCUCUCUUCUCCCAGCAGAGGCUGUGUGCAAUUGCAAUCCAGGAUUAUACAAGCAGUAUUCUUUCCUUAUGAUUUCUAGUUGUAGACCUUUAUCCUCCUUUCUCUGCCUUCUUCGCAGCUGUAGAAUUGGCAUCUUUCCCUGAGGUUUUCCGAGUGGCAAGUGGCACCGGCUGUGGCAUGUAUUCAUGCCGCUUCCUAUGGCAUUUCUCUUCCGAUGUCUGCUUUUUCUUUGUUUGUUGUUGACUAGGCUGAAUGGUGGGGUUUUUUUUAAGUUAAUUAUAAACGAAGUUGAAAUAGCAAACAAGCCAACAGCUUGUCCCCCCCACCAAAAGAAAAAUUAGCCCCACACAAGCGCCUUCUGCUGCAACAGAUGCCCAGAUCACCCCUGGCACGGGCAAACGGGCAAACGAUUUUGGUGGUUUUCAGUUUUUUCUGUUUGUUGCUGUAUUUGUUGUUUGUUUUCCUUGUUUCUUUUUGAUUUUUCGAGGAGUCCAGAAUCCCGGCCUCUGCUUGGAACGGAACAGUGUCAUGGCGGAGACGACGGCCUUUGUCUUGCUGGGUGUGAAAACAUCCGCUGUGCUGGCUCCACUGCGGCAGAAUCAAGUUUAAAGGAAAAAAAGUGAUUAAAGUCAGCUUUGUGCCUCUGUGGUGUGGAAGACCCCCAAACCCCAAGUAGCCGAGUCCCAGGGUCCGAGGAAGGGCUCAUAGUUGGAGCAGCCUAGGCUGUAAUCCUGGCACUUGCGCCUUCGGUUGCUGCUUGCUGUUCGCUCCUGGGGGUCUGGAUAAUCUCCCUUGGCUUUACCGCACUGUCUGGCCCGCAUACAGGGCCCCGUAUCAUAUACCCGCUGCUGCUAUCACACGAAACUGUGGCGUUGCCCCUGAAUGGAUGGCACGGUGCCAACUCUUCUGCCAUCCGCCCUUGCAGCUUUUUUCUUUUCUCCCUCCCUCCCCUUCUUCUUCUCCUCCUCCCGUCGACUUGACGUUAAUUAACACUCGGGUUAAUUGAUUUUAAAAGCCGAAGAAUUACAGUUAACUUUUCCCACAGGGUACAGACGCCAGCCGCUUGGCACACUCUGCUUUUCGCACUGGUGCAGGGGAACAGGGAAAGCCCGCAGCAAAGCUAGCAACUGCUGAGGGAGCGUUGCCUGCUUAUUGGAGUAGAGCCGAUAGAAGUCGACGUGGCAUUGCCUCAUCCUUUACAAUAUAUGUAUCCAUUAUAUAUUUUGUUAAAUAAUCAAAACACCACCCUGUUUUUCUUCUUCUCCGUUCCUCU
rnacentral:lncRNA from 1 species